GACGAACGCUGGCGGCGUGCUUAACACAUGCAAGUCGAACGGAAAGGCCCUGCUUGCAGGGUACUCGAGUGGCGAACGGGUGAGUAACACGUGGGUGAUCUGCCCUGCACUUCGGGAUAAGCUUGGGAAACUGGGUCUAAUACCGGAUAGGAGCCAUCUUUAGUGUGGUGGUUGGAAAGUUUUUUCGGUGUAGGAUGAGCUCGCGGCCUAUCAGCUUGUUGGUGGGGUAAUGGCCUACCAAGGCGGCGACGGGUAGCCGGCCUGAGAGGGUGUACGGCCACAUUGGGACUGAGAUACGGGCCAGACUCCUACGGGAGGCAGCAGGGGGGAAUAUUGCACAAUGGGCGCAAGCCUGAUGCAGCGACGCCGCGUGGGGGAUGAAGGCCUUCGGGUUGUAAACUCCUUUCGCUAGGGACGAAGCUUUGUUGUGACGGUACCUAGAUAAGAAGCACCGGCUAACUACGUG
rnacentral:rRNA from 1 species